rnacentral:tRNA from 1 species
GGUGACUCAGUGGUAGAGUGCUUGCUUUGAAUGCAAGAAGCCCUGGGUUCGAUUCCUCAGUACCA